rnacentral:rRNA from 1 species
AACGAACGCUGGCGGCAGGCUUAACACAUGCAAGUCGAACGCCCCGCAAGGGGAGUGGCAGACGGGUGAGUAACGCGUGGGAAUCUACCCAGAUCUACGGAACAACAGUUGGAAACGACUGCUAAUACCGUAUACGCCCUACGGGGGAAAGAUUUAUCGGAUUUGGAUGAGCCCGCGUUGGAUUAGCUAGUUGGUGGGGUAAUGGCCUACCAAGGCGACGAUCCAUAGCUGGUUUGAGAGGAUGAUCAGCCACACUGGGACUGAGACACGGCCCAGACUCCUACGGGAGGCAGCAGUGGGGAAUCUUAGACAAUGGGCGCAAGCCUGAUCUAGCCAUGCCGCGUGAGCGAUGAAGGCCUUAGGGUUGUAAAGCUCUUUCAGCUGGGAAGAUAAUGACUGUACCAGCAGAAGAAGCCCCGGCUAACUACGUGCCAGCAGCCGCGGUAA